AACGAACGCUGGCGGCAGGCUUAACACAUGCAAGUCGAACGCAUCGCAAGAUGAGUGGCAGACGGGUGAGUAACGCGUGGGAACAUACCCUUUUCUACGGAAUAGCUCUGGGAAACUGGAAUUAAUACCGUAUACGCCCUACGGGGGAAAGAUUUAUCGGGGAAGGAUUGGCCCGCGUUGGAUUAGCUAGUUGGUGGGGUAAAGGACUACCAAGGCGACGAUGCAUAGCUGGUGUGAGAGGAUGAUCAGCCACAUUGGGACUGAGACACGGCCCAAACUCCUACGGGAGGCAGCAGUGGGGAAUAUUGGACAAUGGGCGCAAGCCUGAUCCAGCCAUGCCGCGUGAGUGAUGAAGGCCUUAGGGUUGUAAAGCUCUUUCACCGAUGAAGAUAAUGACGGUAGUCGGAGAAGAAGCCCCGGCUAACUUCGUGCCAGCCGCCGCAGUAAAAC
rnacentral:rRNA from 1 species